CCCCUCUCAGGAUCGCGUCUGGAGAGUUUUCAGUACUCUACCAGUCUCAGCUAUGGGAAGGAGAGUCAAGCAGAGGCUUACCCAUUCCAUUUCUAGCUUGGACAGAGCCUAGCAAGUGAAAGGCAAUCUACUACAAGU